rnacentral:rRNA from 1 species
AGAGUUUGAUCCUGACUCAGGAUGAACGCUAGCGGCAGGCUUAACACAUGCAAGUCGAGGGGCAGCGGGGAGGAAGCUUGCUUUCUCCGCCGGCGACCGGCGCACGGGUGAGUAACACGUAUGCAACCUGCCCCUGUCAGGGGGACAACCCGCCGAAAGGCGGGCUAAACCCGCGUACAUGCCACCAGGGCAUCCCGGAGGCAGGAAAGGCUUCGGCCGGACAGGGAUGGGCAUGCGGCGCAUUAGGCAGUAGGCGGGGUAACGGCCCACCUAACCGACGAUGCGUAGGGGUUCUGAGAGGGAAGGGUCCCCCACACUGGUACUGAGACACGGACCAGACUCCUACGGGAGGCAGCAGUGAGGAAUAUUGGUCAAUGGUCGGGAGACUGAACCAGCCAAGCCGCGUGAGGGAUGAAGGUACAGAGUAUCGUAAACCUCUUUUGUCAGGGAACAAAGGCGGGGACGCGUCCCCGGAUGAGUGUACCUGAAGAAAAAGCAUCGGCUAACUCCGUGCCAGCAGCCGCGGUAAUACGGAGGAUGCGAGCGUUAUCCGGAUUUAUUGGGUUUAAAGGGUGCGCAGGCGGUCUGUUAAGUCAGCGGUCAAAGCCCGGGGCUCAACCCCGGCCCGCCGUUGAAACUGGCAGUCUCGAGUUGGAGAGAAGUAUGCGGAAUGCGCGGUGUAGCGGUGAAAUGCAUAGAUAUCGCGCAGAACUCCGAUUGCGAAGGCGGCAUGCCGGCUCCACACUGACGCUGAGGCACGAAAGCGUGGGUAUCGAACAGGAUUAGAUACCCUGGUAGUCCACGCAGUAAACGAUGAAUGCUGGCUGUCCGGGGGGAUUGACCCCUGGGUGGCGAAGCGAAAGCGAUAAGCAUUCCACCUGGGGAGUACGCCGGCAACGGUGAAACUCAAAGGAAUUGACGGGGGCCCGCACAAGCGGAGGAACAUGUGGUUUAAUUCGAUGAUACGCGAGGAACCUUACCCGGGCUCAAACGGGGAGUGACUCAGGCAGAGACGCCUGUUUCCCACGGGACACUCCCCGAGGUGCUGCAUGGUUGUCGUCAGCUCGUGCCGUGAGGUGUCGGCUUAAGUGCCAUAACGAGCGCAACCCCCGCGUGCAGUUGCUAACAGAUAACGCUGAGGACUCUGCACGGACUGCCGGCGCAAGCCGCGAGGAAGGCGGGGAUGACGUCAAAUCAGCACGGCCCUUACGUCCGGGGCGACACACGUGUUACAAUGGGUGGUACAGCGGGAAGCCAGGCGGCGACGCCGAGCGGAACCCGAAAUCCACUCUCAGUUCGGAUCGGAGUCUGCAACCCGACUCCGUGAAGCUGGAUUCGCUAGUAAUCGCGCAUCAGCCAUGGCGCGGUGAAUACGUUCCCGGGCCUUGUACUCACCGCCCGUCA